rnacentral:rRNA from 1 species
CCGAAGCUGUGGAUUGACAUCUACGAUGUCAGUGGUAGGAGAGCGUUCUAAGUGCGUUGAAGUCAGACCGGAAGGACUGGUGGAGCGCUUAGAAGUGAGAAUGCCGGUAUGAGUAGCGAAAGACGGGUGAGAAUCCCGUCCACCGUAUGACUAAGGUUUCCUGAGGAAGGCUCGUCCGCUCAGGGUUAGUCGGGACCUAAGCCGAGGCCGAUAGGCGUAGGCGAUGGACAACAGGUUGAUAUUCCUGUACCACCUCCUCACCGGUUGAGAAAUGGGGGGACGCAGUAGGAUAGGGUAAGCGCGCUGUUGGAUAUGCGCGUCCAAGCAGUAAGGCGUGUGUGUAGGCAAAUCCGCACACUGUAACGUUGAGCUGUGAUGGCGAGUCCGUAUGGACGAAGUUCCUGAUUUCACACUGCCAAGAAAAGCCUCUAUCGAGGUGAGAGGUGCCCGUACCGCAAACCGACACAGGUAGUCGAGGAGAGAAUCCUAAGGUGUGCGAGAGAACUCUCGUUAAGGAACUCGGCAAAAUGACCCCGUAACUUCGGGAGAAGGGGUGCUCUUGAGCGUGCAAGCGCAUGAGAGCCGCAGUGAAUAGGCCCAGGCGACUGUUUAGCAAAAACACAGGUCUCUGCAAAACCGUAAGGUGACGUAUAGGGGCUGACGCCUGCCCGGUGCUGGAAGGUUAAGAGGAGUGGUUAG